CCCGCCUCGCCGUCGGCUGCCCGCUCAACCCCCGGCGGUGACCGGGCGGUCCUCAGAAACGAGUAGAACCGGAUGCCUGACCUGAAACCCAGCCUUGAGGUCAAUUCCUGACCUGCUGCAAACAACUGGGAAGUUCAGGCAAAUCUGACUGCAGACAAGGCCACUUCCAGAGGCUCAGGUGUGGAAACUGAAAACCAGAAAAAGGAAAUGCUGUGGCCAACUUCACAUGAUUCAAUUGGAGCCAAACCUGCAUUGUCUGCAAAUCAUGGUACCUCUGUCCUGGGAAUACUCGACCAUCAGAGUGAAGCCUAUCAGUUAAAGACCCACAGGGCAGUUUCACAGCCAAGUCUGCAAGGCUUGAAAAAACCCGGUUAGACUGGAAGUGCUGACACAAGCCCAGCAGAGAGAAUGGCCUCACUAUGUUGCUGCAACAAUCUGGGGAGAAAAAAUGAAUCAUUUUUUUUGUGUGUGCAUUAAUCUUCAAGUUGCGUCUACGUGACUUGAGAAACCAACUGAACCCAACACAACUUGGCCAUGCAAAUCGUGUGUGCAUUCCUAGUGAAUAGGGUCCUUGAUCACAUUCAUACUAAUUAUGCUGUUCUCAAAAAGAUCUGAGCUAAGUCCGAACAUGUUAAGAAUGUUCAGUGGGGAAAAAAAAAAAAGAAAAAAACAACGGUGGAAAAUUUUGCUUCUCUGUUAUAAAAACAGAAGAAGUAAAGGCUUACGGGAAUAGCCAGUUAAGACAUUUUCAGGCAACUGCUUCUACUGAGGUGAAGAACGCUAAUAUAUUAGUUGUUAUUAGAUGAGCAGCUGCUGGUUAGUUUUGGGCAAAGAACUUAAGUUACUUUAGGAAGAAUCAUUUUUGUAGUACCUGUGCUUCUGCAGGACUUGUUUUUUGCCCUCUUUAUUUAUCUUCUCUUUUUCUAUUUAUUUACUUUUACCAGGACCAAGUUAACAGGUAUUUGUGUUUUUUGCUUUACUUUCCAUAUCUGCACUUUCACACCCAACCAAUUAGAAGACUUGCAAGAGGACAAGAAAUAUGACUUGUGACUCUUUUAAGUGAGCUGCAAUGAAUAUUGCAAAUGCAAAAUGCACAUUAACAGACUACAGUGCUAUUUAUUAAUUAGUGAUUGGUAUUAUAUGAGAACUGGGAAGAAGAGAUACCUUGGGGAAAAUAAUAAUAAAAAAUGACAGCUC